UUUUAGCCCUGAUGGAAGCGGCAUCCUUUUUUCGGUGGCAAAGGUGAUAUGCUGAGCUUGUCGAAAUACUCUCGAAGCCACCGAAAAAAGAUAUAGCGUACAGCAGGAAUAGGG
rnacentral:sRNA from 1 species